rfam:Anas platyrhynchos breed Pekin duck contig100883, whole genome shotgun sequence.
UUGCCGUGAUGACUUCUCUUAGGACACCUUUGGAGUACCCAUGAAAAAAACCACACUGAUUCUGAGCAAC